rnacentral:rRNA from 1 species
CCUGAUGCAGCAACGCCGCGUGAGGGAUGACGGCCUUCGGGUUGUAAACCUCUUUUAGCAAGGAAGAAGCGAAAGUGACGGUACUUGCAGAAAAAGCGCCGGCUAACUACGUGCCAGCAGCCGCGGUAAUACGUAGGGCGCAAGCGUUAUCCGGAAUUAUUGGGCGUAAAGAGCUCGUAGGCGGUUUGUCGCGUCUGCUGUGAAAUCCCGAGGCUCAACCUCGGGCCUGCAGUGGGUACGGGCAGACUAGAGUGCGGUAGGGGAGAUUGGAAUUCCUGGUGUAGCGGUGGAAUGCGCAGAUAUCAGGAGGAACACCGAUGGCGAAGGCAGAUCUCUGGGCCGUAACUGACGCUGAGGAGCGAAAGGGUGGGGAGCAAACAGGCUUAGAUACCCUGGUAGUCCACCCCGUAAACGUUGGGAACUAGUUGUGGGGUCCUUUCCACGGAUUCCGUGACGCAGCUAACGCAUUAAGUUCCCCGCCUGGGGAGUACGGCCGCAAGGCUAAAACUCAAAGGAAUUGACGGGGACCCGCACAAGCGGCGGAGCAUGCGGAUUAAUUCGAUGCAACGCGAAGAACCUUACCAAGGCUUGACAUACACGAGAACACCCUAGAAAUAGGGGACUCUUUGGACACUC